rnacentral:lncRNA from 1 species
UACAGGGGGUACCGGUACAGAGUCAAUGUGGAGGCUAUAUACAGGGUAUUACGGUACAGAGUCAAUGUGGAGGCUAUAUACAGGGUAUUACGGUACAGAGUCAAUGUGGAGGCUAUAUACAGGGUAUUACGGUACAGAGUCAAUGUGGAGGCUAUAUACAGGGGGUACCGGUACAGAGUCAGUGUGGAGGCUAUAUACAGGGGGUACCGGUACAGAGUCAAUGUGGAGGCUAUAUACAGGGGGUACCGGUACAGAGUCAAUGUGGAGGCUAUAUACAGGGCAUUACGGUACAGAGUCAAUGUGGAGGCUAUAUGCAGGGGGUACCGGUACAGAGUAAAUGUGGAGGCUAUAUACAGGGGGUACCGGUACAGAGUCAAUGUGGAGGCUAUAUACAGGGUAUUACGGUACAGAGUCAAUGUGGAGGCUAUAUACAGGGUAUUACGGUACAGAGUCAAUGUGGAGGCUAUAUACAGGGGGUACCGGUACAGAGUCAAUGUGGAGGCUAUAUACAGGGGGUACCGGUACAGAGUCAAUGUGGAGGCUAUAUACAGGGGGUACCGGUACUGAGUCAAUGUGGAGGCUAUAUACAGGGUGUACCGGUACAGAGUCAAUGUGGAGGCUAUAUACAGGGGGUACCGGUACAGAGUCAAUGUGGAGGCUAUAUACAGGGGGUACCGGUACAGAGUCAAUGUGGAGGCUAUAUACAGGGGGUACCGGUACAGAGUCAGUGUGGAGGCUAUAUACAGGGGGUACCGGUACAGAGUCAAUGUGGAGGCUAUAUACAGGGUAUUACGGUACAGAGUCAAUGUGGAGGCUAUAUACAGGGUAUUACGGUACAGAGUCAAUGUGGAG